CCCUGGAGGAAAAUACUCGGCUCUGAAUCUGCACCUCUCCCAAGCGCGAAGUCCUCGUCCAGAGAAGGCAACGGCGAGAAACAAAUCCAACAUCCUGGGCUGCUUUUUCCUUCCCCCACUUUUUAAAAGUUUGGUGUCCAAGUCACUUGACAAACCCAGACCCUAACAAUGACAUUUUGUGUAGAAUUCUGGGAUCAAAAUAUAAUUUCAAAAAUAAUAUAUUUUCUGACAUCCCCCAAGAAAAAAAGUACUGGUUUCUUCCCCCUAAAAGGAUUUAGAUGGAAUAACAUCUGUGCUGAGAAUAUUGUGAAUAUGUUGAACUGACAGGCAGUCUCUAAGGCACUCCGCUCAUUAAUGUGCUGUGCAUAAAAUUAAAACUUGAA
rnacentral:lncRNA from 1 species